GAUAGCCUGGGGAGAAAUGCCAAAUGUGGAUGAAGGGGAGAAAGGAAGCAAAACAUACUGCCAUGUGUGUACCUAUGCAACUGUCUGGCAUGUUCUGCACAUGUACCCUGAAACCUAAAAUGCAAUAAAAUAUUAAAAAAAAGAAAAAAGAAGAGAGAAUCUAAUGCCUGAUGAUCUGUCACUGUCUCCCAUCACCUUCAUAUGGGAUUAUCUAGUUGCACGAAAACAAGCUCAGGACUCCCACAGAUCUACAUUAUGGUGAGUUGUAUAAUUCUCUCAUCAUAUAUUACAAUUUAAUAAUAAUAGAAAUAAAGUACACAAUAUACGUAAUGCAUUUGAAGCAUCCUGAAGCCAUUCCCUUGAAUGCCUGAUCCUUGGUCUGUGGAAAAACUGUGUUUCAUGGAACCAGUUUCUGGUGCCAAAAAGUUUGGUGACUGUUGUUUUCGAUGUUAACCACUCAGUAUGUGUUGAGUGUAUCUCACUGUGGUUUCAAUUUGCAUUUCCGUUGUGAUUAAUGAUAUUCAGCACCUGUGUGUGUUUACUGGCCAUUGCAUGGCCUCUUUUAUAGAAGACCAGUUUGAAUUUCUUACCCUUUGUUCUACUGGAUUCUGUUAUUUCAUUUUUGAUUAACUUUGAGCAGUUUUUAUGAGAGUCUGAUUAUGAGCCUCUUCUUGAUUAUAUGUAUUAAAACGACACUCUCCCACUCUUGUUUGUCUGUUCACUCUUCUGCUUAUCGAAACAAAAGCUCUUAAUUUUGGCAAAUAAAAAUUCUUAACUUUAAUAGUGCAUCUCUCUUUUCCUUUAUGGUUUAUGGGCUUCCUUUCUCAGUCAUGAAUUCUCCUAUAUGUAAUUUUCUAAAAGCUUUAUUGUUUCAUACUUCAAUCUACAAUCUACCUGGAGCUGAUUUCUGUGAGUGGUGUGAGAGGGAGUCAAGUCUCAGUUUUUGCCUUUAUCUAUCCAUUUCAUUUAGUACUUGAGAAGCUGUCUUUUUCUCAUUACUCUGAUCUUUAUGCUGGGGCUACUUUUCCCUAAGCUGCCCCUGUCCCUCAAUGACCUGUUGAAGGUACUGAAGCGGGGCCAAUUCUGCUUGAUGUGGGCUCUUCUAAUGGGAACCUGUGCUUGGAUGCUACCCAUCAGCCAAACCACACUUUCUUGGAACUGCAGAUUGGUCUGAGGCUCUUCCUACCGGUCUUCUUUCCCUCCUGUCAUGGUGUCAGAUAGGUGUGGUCUGAAAUCUCCCCCUGCCUAAGCAUGCUCUCUCCCCCUUUAUCCUCCCCAAGUAUCUCCCUCCAAAAAUAUCUUGCAUGUCUUGCUCAUCUUGACAUCUGCUAAUUGGAGGACCUGAAUUGACAUAGAGUGAGUAGAUCCUAGAAUAAGAGAGUCAUGCUUCAGUGACAAUGGGACAAAGGGCUUGGCUAAGUUCAGGGCAAAAGAGAAUGAAUAUGGAGAAUGGAUUGAAGGACUUUCUCAAAGAAGAGUGCAUGGAAACUUGUGUCCGGCAAUGUAGAAGGCAAGAGAAGGGGUGGAGUUGAAGACAGUUCUAACAUUGGGACUCAAUCAUCAUGUCACUGAAAAUGAGCUCAUUUCAGGCAACUAUUAUGAUACUACUUCUAUACUAAUUAAGGGAUUUUGGGGAAACAAUUUAAUAACAAUGUUGUUACUUUUGUAUUGGGCUUCAACAGUUUACUAGAUGAAUUUAUACAUCAUCUCAUUUAUUCUUUAAUGGGACUUUGGAAUACAAGGGAAAGGGAAGCACUUAAAUGAGGUCCUGUUUGACUCUCCCUUCCGGGGUCUUCAUUGCUGACCCUUCCACUCCAGACUCUUUUCACUUCUGUUUCCAAGGGUUGAAAUCACUAAAUCACUCAGAUUAGGCCAUCUGCAGUCAAGAUAAAAGGUCAGGGUGAUGUUAGCCUGUGAUGAGAUGGUGUGUGGUCAAAGAGGGUUUUUUUUUAGGCUCUGUCAAGGCUGAAAAAUGGGGGUUUAGGGGAGAAAGUGUAAAUUAAUGGGAUAUACAUUGAUUUGGCUGGGGAUAGCUUAUUUUAUAAUACUUAGGGAUGGUGACUGAUACAGUUUGGAUUUUUGUUCCUCCAAAUCUCAUGUUGAAAUUUGAUCCCCAGUGUUGGAGAUGGGGCCUAAUGGGAGGUGUUUGGGUCAUGGGGGCAGAUCCCUCGAGAAUGGCUUGGUGCCCUCUCCAUCAUAAUGAGUGAGUGCUCACUCUACUAGUUCACAUGACAGUGGUUGUUCAAAAGAGCGUGACAUUCCUUUCCUCCUCACUGUCUGUCUCUUGCUCUUUCCCUCACCCUGUGGCACACUGCUCUCCUUUCUCUUCCACUGCAACUGAAAGCUUCUUGAGGUCCUCACCAGGAGCAGAUGCUGGCGCCAUGCUUCUUGUAUGGACUGCAGAACCAAGAGCCAAAUAAACCUCUUCUGUUUAUAAAUUACCCAGUCUCAGGUAUUCCUUUAUAGCAACAUAAAAUGAACUAAUAUAUUCACCCCACAGUGGGGUGAAGUGUUGAUUUUUGGGGGAUCAUGCAUAAAUUAUAUCACUGUCAGAGAAGGGGAGAGAAGGACAAUAGAAAGCAGAACCAUGUAGAGAAGGAAUGAUCAUUAUGGGUGGGUUGGCAGAAGAAGGACAAUACUAUAUUUUAGAUGGUGUUUGUGUGUGUGUGUGUGUGUGUGUGUGUGUAUUCUAGCCUCAGGGAGAGUAAGAAAAGAAUUUGGUGGUGGGAAGAGAAUAGUGAAAGAGAUGUUGGAAUCAGAAAGAUUCUAAAGAACUUUAGGGUACUUAAGAUUGGUAGCCAUUAACGUAGGCUCCAUCAGCUAGCCAGUAUUAAGCAUCUCCUGUGGCUGCUGUUCACUACUGAUGGGACAGAUGUUGUGUCUUAGGGAAGGGAGCCAGACUUGGAAGCUCCUUCUAUUCUAGGAUUGGACAGACAGGUAUUUAUUUAAAAGAACCAGAUGGUUCAAAGGAGUUUCUAAUUUUAUACUGUCGGGCAUCAGGUUUCAAACUAAAUUUGGGCUCUGCCUUCCAGCUUUCCUGUUGGCCCCGGAUUGAGAAUAGCCUCCUGUUUUACCAGCCAUCUGGUCCCUCCAGAUCUCUGCUGCUGAGUGACAUCUCCAAAUGUCUCCCCGCAGAGAGGACAGAAUCUUAAACAAAAUCUACAGGGCAAAGAUACAUUUUUCUAAUAGGUGAGAUCCUGGAGAGGAAUAGGUCCCCAUGUUGAAAGGACCAUGUGAUGUGAGUCACACUGUGUUUGAUGUGAUAAGUGGCUUCUUGAGCAGUCACAUGUUGAGGUGUGCACUGUACUGGAUAGUCCAUGCCUGUGUUUCUAGAUCUUUGAUUUUCUAGGAUUUCCUUUUCUAAAUAAGUGGGCUCUUGUUCUAAUAAUUCAUCACUUAGUAUCAAUAACUGUUCAUAAAUGCCCACUGUGUGCUAGAUAUUGGUGGCACAUCUACCUCUGGUCUUCUAAAAUGACAAAAAAUAGAGAAUGAUUUAACUCUAACCAUGACAUUAAUCUUUUGAGGACAAUAAUCCAUUAUUAUUUUCAGCAGGACCGUCUCUGGACAGAAGAGGCUAAGGCCAUCCCCAGGGCUUGCUUUGUCUGCAGUGCAAGACAAGUCGCACUAUGAAGUCUCUUUGCUUCCUAUUCUCAACCCCUCCACUGGCAACCCAGCAUUUUUAUCAGGUCAAAGUGAAUGACAAGGGCUAACUUGAAGAGGAUGAGAAGUCACACAAUGCAUCCAUGUGACCCGGAGGGCUCACUAGACUUGGAUGGAGGUGUUACCGCUUGGUUUGGUGAAGUCUGGGGUUUACAGACUUAGGGCACAAAUGUGAGCCUCAGGCCCUUCCUUCUAAGCAGCAGAUGGCAGAGCACCUCAAUGCACUCUGCCAGCUGCCCAGUCCAUGUGCCUGGUGGGAUUGUCCUGCUCUGCUUUCCACAAGGAUGGCUUUGUCUGCCGGAAAGAAUAAUCAUAACUGAAACAAAUGUGUACUUGGAUAGAUACCUGGAUAGAUACAGCUUAGUUGGCUCCUGACAGGUUUCUGGCUAGGAGAGCCUGAGCAGCUACAGUGGGAAGGUAGAUGCUGUAGGACCAGACAGAUGGUGGGUAGCUGUCAUCCACUGCAUCCUGGUCCCCUUCAGUCUCACAUUACAAAUGACCCAAAGGAUAUGUGUGAACAGAUUUGAAAAUUAAAAAAGUUCAGUUGAUUACAUUUAUCACAGGUUUUCUCAAUAACAGGCAGGCAAUAAAACUGGUCGCCAUUCCCUCAAAUAGAUUUUGCAAUGCUUGGGGUCUCCUUUUAAUAUAAAAUGGAGGAGUUGCUAGGAGUAGCAGAUCUGAGCACAUGUCUCUGUCUAGUAGGUUUUUUCUUGCAAAAAGUCUUAUAGUUAUGGCUUAAGUUCUCAUUGCCCAACUGUAUACUCUGAGUCAUUGUCCUGUCACAGCCAUAUUUCUGGCUGGCAUUGUAUCUGCAACCAAGAGUGUGAUUGCAAGAACACAAGGCACUGUGGAAAAGAUAGAUGAGAUUUGUGAGUCAGGAAUUCUGCUCAUAAGGUCUGAGGCUGUUCAUUUCCUGGGUUUGUCCAGGGGACCUUAAGCCAUGGAAAGCAUAAUACUUAGGGAUGGUAAACCUGGCACCACCCUGCUUGCAUUCUUUGCUCCAGGCAUUCUGAUCUAGUUGUCCUUCUCUGUAUCCCAUGCUUGCUCCCUGAGCCCCAACACCUACUGUUCUCUAGAUUGGGGCUUUCUCUAGCUUCAUCCUCCCCUCCCUCAGCCCACUAUGCACUCGGUCAGGCCAACUGGUCUUACUCUGCAGUGGAGUCUGAGGUUUGCUGUUGCUUCCUGUGGGGAGGCUUUUCUGAGCCCCCAAGCCUGGUGCUGUGUGCUCCUGUAGCAGCCCCUGCUUCUUCUGUACACCAUGUAUUGCCAACUUGCUUCUGACUUUUCCCUACAAGCUACAUUCUCCAUGAGGUAGGGAAUUAUGUGUUUAUUUCUCCCAGAACAGAGCCUGGUGCACAGUGGGUGCUCAGUGGUUGAGUGGAUGAAUGGGCCUCAGUGAUCCUUUGCUUCCCUCACACUGAGAAGGUCUGGUCAGCUCGUUUCCCUUUCUCCUCUCCCUUGUUUCUUGCUGACUCUUCUGGAGCACCAGUGAAAACAUAGUCCUUGCCUGGCUUUCUGUUUUUUUUUUUCCCCUCCCCAUUGCUUUAAUUAACUUAGAAAUUCAUUGGACACUCAGACAAAAGAUAGAAUUUGAUUGUCUCUAUAGUAUACCUGGAUGCCACUUCUCUGAAGUCUGUUGGAAUGAAGUAAUGAAACCUUGUAUGUUUUGUUUGUUUUCCAGCUGCCUCCUGGUUAUAAAGCAAAGCAAAACUAGAGAGAAGACCAAUGCCAGAGCCUUUGUUACUAAAAUGUCAGCAUUUCUUGCAACUCUCUUUGGUUUGGGGCUCUUUUGUGUCACAGAUGUUUUCAAAUAGAUCUGGAGAUUUACAGCAUUUUGACCAGAAGAUACCCUGAGAGCAGGCAGUGAGAAGAUCACUCUUUUCUCCUGGUCUGCCUUUUGUAUUAGGUUGGUGCAAAAGUGGCUGCAUUUUUGCCAUUAAAAUUAUUUUUGCAGCAACCUAAAUAGAACGUGUGAUGAUGCAGAGCACCCAAACGAGAGAGUGUGCGACUGUGCAGGCAUCCACUAUGCCUCAAUGUUUAUUUCUUCCAGCUUAGGGGUGUGGCUUCCCUUGUCAUAGUUUCACAAAAGGAUUAUUUCCUAGUUAAAAAGAGAAUCACACAGGUAGAAAUCAAGGUGGGGGAAAAGAUGAAACAACUGUAGGUGUACAAAUGACCCCAUUGAGAUGUUGUAAGAUUGAGAACCAGGAGUAGGGGAGCCUUGUUAGUCUCUGACUUACAGACCUUGAAUCUGAUCCGGAGGCAUUCUUCCAUCUAAGAGCAAUUAUUGGAGUUGAAAGAAAACCACUUAGUUUUACUCAAAUUUGUUUAAAAAUAUUUAUAAUGAGGGUGGGUGUGGUAGCUGAUGCCUGUAAUCCCAGCACUUUGGGAAGCUGAGGAGGGCAGAUCAGGAGGUCAGGAGAUUGAGACCAUCCUGGCCAACAUGGUGAAACCCUGUCUUCACUAAAAACACAAAAAUUAGCUGGGCAUGGUGGUGUGCGCUUGUAAGCCCAGCUACUCAGGAGCCUGAGGCAGGAGAAUCACUUCAACCUGGGAGGCAGAGGCUGCAGUGAGCCGAGGUCAUGCCGCUGCCCUCCAGCCUGGCAAGACUUGGUCUAAAAAUACAUAUUUAUACACACAUACACAUAUAUUCAUAAUGAAACAAGAUAUUUAUAUACACACACACACAUUCAUAAUGAAACAAGAUAUUUAUACACACACAUAUUCAUAAUGAAACGAUAUUUAUAUACACACACACAUUCAUAAUGAAACAAGAUAUUUAUAUACGCACACACACAUAUUCAUAAUGAAACAAGAUAUUUAUAUACACACAUAUAUUCAUAAUGAAACAAGAUAUUUAUAUACACACACACAUAUUCAUAAUGAAACAAGAUAUUUAUAUACACACACACACACACACACAUAUUCAUAAUGAAACAAGAUAUUUAUACACACACACACAUAUUCAUAAUGAAACAAGAAUUAGAAGAAGAAUGGGCACCUAAUACAUGCCAGCUGCCGAGUCAUCCCCUACUGAGGAGGACACUUUCUUAGUCAUCAUCUCAUUUAAUUGUUUUCAUUAGAUAUUGAGAAUAUUCAUAAAAUAUAUAUGAUGUGUAAAGAAUCACAAUAUUGGCGAGGCAUGGUGGUUUAUGCCUAUAAUCCUAGAACUUCUGAAGGCCAAGGCAGGAGGAUUGCUUGUGGCCAGAAGUUCAAUACCAGCCUGUGCAACAUAGUCAGACUUCAUCUCUACAAAAAAUAAAUAAAUUAGCUGGGUGUGGUGCAUGCCUGCAGUCCCAGCUACUCGGGAGACUGAAGUGGGAGGAUUGCUUGAAACCAGGGGCUUGAGGCUGCCGUGAACUGUUAUCACAUCACUGCAUUCCAGCCUGGGUGACAGAGCAAGACCCUAUCUCUAAAAAAAUAAAAAGAAAUAUGGUGGGAGCGAAACCAACGCUGGCUCGUGGCAGCAGCUGCUGAGGUGUCCCUGGCCAGUGUCCUUCCACCUGUCCACAAGCAUGGGGAACAUCUUCGCCAACCUCUUCAAGGGCCUUUUUGGCACAAAGGAAAUGCGCAUCCUCAUGGUGGGCCUGGAUGCUGCGGGGAAGACCACGAUCCUGUACAAGCUAAAGCUGGGUGAGAUCGUGACCACCAUUCCCACCAUAGGCUUCAAUGUGGAAACUGUGGAGUACAAGAACAUCAGCUUCACUGUGUGGGACGUGGUGGCCAGGACAAGAUCCGGCCUCUGUGGCGCCACUACUUCCAGAACACACAAGGCCUGAUCUUCAUGGUGGACAGCAAUGAUAGAGAGCACGCGAACAGGCCCGUGAGGAGCUCAUGAGGAUGCUGGCUGAGGAUGAGCUCCGGGAUGCUGUCCUCGCCAACAAGCAGGACCUCCCCAACUCCAUGAAUGCGGCCGAGAUCACAGACAAGCUGGGGCUGCAAUCCCUACGCCACAGGAACUGGUACAUUCAGGCCACCUGAGCCACCAGCGGUGACGGGCUGUAUGAAGGACUGGACUGGCUGUCCAAUCAGCUCCGGAACCAGAAGUGAACGCGACCCCCUCCCUCUCACUCCUCUCACCCUCUGCGUUACUCUCAUGUGGCAAACGUGCGGCUCUGGUGUGAAUGCCAGAAGCUGCCUCAGUGGUUUGGUCACCGUGUGCAUCGCACCGUGCUGUAAAUGUGGUGGACGCAGCCUGCCGCCAGGCUUUUUAUUUAAUAUAAAUAGUUUUUGUUCCCAAUGAGGCAGUUUCUGGUACUCCUAUGCAAUAUUACUCAGCUUUUUUUAUUGUAAAAAGAAAAAUCAACUCACUGUUCAGUGCUGAGAGGGGAUGUAGGCCUGUGGGCACCUGGCCUCCAGGAGUCGAUGUGUUGGGAAAGCCGGGCACGCUCUUGGCUUUAGAGCUGUGUUAAAAUCCAUUUUGGUGGUUGGUUUUUAACCCAAACUCAGUGCACUUUUUUAAAUAGUUAAAAAUCCAAGUCGAGAACACUUGAACAUACAGAAGGGAGACCCUGCCUAGCAUAGAUUUGCAGUUACAGCCUGGAUGCCGGUCGCCAGCCCGGCUGUUCCCCUUGGGAAUGUGAGGCGGCGGCGCUGCAGACCGCGAUCAAUUCUGCAUGGUCGCAAUAGAGAUCCCGCAACUCACUUGUCCUUGGGUCACCCUGCAUUCCAUAGCCAUGUGCUUGUUCCUGUGCCCCCAUGGUUCCCAGGGGCCAAGCUGGGAGCCCACAGCCGCCCCACUCUCCUGCAGGCCUCCCCGCCCACCUUCAGGCAGCCUGUGGGAAACAGGGCCCCACCUGUCCCUCGGUCAGCAUGUGGCCUGAGUGAGUCCGUCAUUCCCACUGCUCGUGCUCGCUCAGACACUUCGGCAGGAUGUCUGGGGUCUCACCAGCAGGAGUGUGUGAAAGCCGGGCAGGCGGUCCACCUCCACCCACAGCCCCUCGGGAGCACCCCACCUCCGUGUGUGACGUAGCUUUCUUUCCCUCAACCUGCAAGGGUCCGAUUUGCCAUUGAAAAAGACAACCUCUACUUUUUUCUUUUGUAUUUUGAUAAACACUGAAGAAGCUGGAGCUGUUAAAUUUAUCUUGGGGAAAUCUCAGAACUGGUCUGUUUGGUGUCGUGGAGCCUCUUACUGCUUUCAGUACACGGUUGGUAAUCAACGUUUUGUAUACUUGUUUUCAGUUUUCAUUUCGACAAACAAGUGCUGUAAUUAUAGCUAUUAGAAUAAAACCUCUUAACUAUUAAAAAAAAAAAAAAAAGAAAUACAAAAGAGUGAACGCCUGUGUCCAGCAUUACCUUUGGGUGCCCUGUAGAAUCUGCCUUCUUCCCUUCUCGGAUGUAGCCACCUGUGUCCAGCAUUACCUUUGGGUGCCCUGUAGAAUCUGCCUUCUUCCCUUCUCGAAUGUAGCCAUUCUCCUAAAUUUUGUGUUUAUUGUUCACUUUCUUUCUAAAAUACGUUUUUACUUUUUGCUCUAUUCCAAAAUGACAUGUUGUUUCGUUUUGAAUGUUGCUGGCCUUUAUACAAAUGGAAUCAUACUAUAUGAAUUUUCUGCAACUUGUGUUUUUCACUCAGAUAUUUGAUCUUGAGUUUCAUUGGUGUAGUUGUGUCACUGUAAUUAAUUCCUAUUAUAGGAAUUAUAUAGUGCUAGAGUGUAUAAAUAUACCACAGUGUGGUUUAUUCAGAUGUGGAUGAAUGUUUGGAUUGUUUCCAUUUUUAAAACACGAUAUAGACAAGACUUGAUCAUUCUUGUAUGAGUCCCUUUGUGCUGAUUUUGUCAGACUUUUAAACUUUUGCCAGUCUGGUAGUUAUGAAAUAGCAUCUUAUGGUGGUUUGUUAUUAUUUUUUUUUCAUGAGACAGAGUCUUGCUCUGUCACCAGGCACCAGGCUGGAGUGCAGUGGUGUGAUCUCGGCUCACUGUAACCUCUGCCUCCUGGGUUCAAGUGAUUCUCUUGCCUCAGCUUCCUGAGUAGCUGGGAUUAUAGGCGCCCACCACCAUGCCCAGCAAAUUUUUGUAGUUUUAGUAGAGAUGGGGUUUCACCGUAUUGGCUAACCUGGUCUCAAACUCCCAACCUCAGGUGAUCUGCCUACCUCAUUCUCCCAAAGUGUUAGGAUUACAGGUGUGAGCCAAUGUGCCUGGCCAAGCAUAUUUUCAUAUGGAUAUGGAUACUUAUGUUUCUUCUACUCUAAAGAGAUAGUUCAAGCCUUGCCAAUCUUAGUGAUUUUUAAAAUAAUUUCAAUUUCUAUUUGAGAUUCAAGGGGUACAUGUGCAGGUUUUUUACAUGGUUAUAUUAUAUGAUGCUAUGGUUUUGGGUACAUUCAUUCCUGUUACCCAUGUAGUGAGCAUAGUACUCAAUAGUUUUUCAAUCCUUCGCUCCCCAUCCCACCUCCAAUAGUUCCCAGUGUCUAUUGUUGCCACCUUUGUGUCCACGUGUACCCAAUGUUUAGCUCCCACUUAAAGGGGGGACAUGUGACCUUUGGUUUUCUUUUUCUGCAUGAAUUUGCUUAGGAUAAUGCCUCCAGCUGUAUCCA